rnacentral:lncRNA from 1 species
GAUGUUGAGGUUGCUAAUGGCUUGAGGAGUGUGAUGACAGUUUAGAACAGCCCCUGGAUUGCAAAGAACAUGAUCAGAAACUAGAGGGUUGUUGCUGAACUUUGGGUUAUACUUAUGGUAACCUCAUCACUGAGAAUUUCCCAGAUUGCUGCUUUUCUUACUAUACUUCUGGAAGAUUUUAACAGGUUUCUAGGAAAAAAUGUGAAACAAUUUUGUGUAGGGGUGAAUAUGCAAUAUGGAUAGAAUUGACAGUACACUAUAAUUUUUUGUUUGUGUGUA